rnacentral:rRNA from 1 species
UGAGUAUAGUUGAGGUAGCUGGAAUGAGUAGUGUAGCGGUGAAAUGCAUAGAUAUUACUCAGAACACCGAUUGCGAAGGCAGGUUACCAAGUUAUAACUGACGCUGAGGGACGAAAGCGUGGGGAGCGAACAGGAUUAGAUACCCUGGUAGUCCACGCCGUAAACGAUGCUAACUCGUUUUUGGGCUUUAUGGUUCAGAGACUAAGCGAAAGUGAUAAGUUAGCCACCUGGGGAGUACGACCGCAAGGUUGAAACUCAAAGGAAUUGACGGGGGCCCGCACAAGCGGUGGAUCAUGUGGUUUAAUUCGAUGAUACGCGAGGAACCUUACCAAGGCUUAAAUGGGAAUUGACAGCUGUAGAAAUACGGUUUUCUUCGGACAAUUUUCAAGGUGCUGCAUGGUUGUCGUCAGCUCGUGCCGUGAGGUGUUAGGUUAAGUCCUGCAACGAGCGCAACCCCUGUCACUAGUUGCCAUCAUUAAGUUGGGGACUCUAGUGAGACUGCCUACGCAAGUAGAGAGGAAGGUGGGGAUGACGUCAAAUCAUCACGGCCCUUACGCCUUGGGCCACACACGUGAUACAAUGGCCG